GUUGCUUACCUCCCAGCAGCUCCCAGUGUAAAUCUCGUGGUCUGUGUGCCGCGCGGAGCGUUGUCAUGGUAAACCAUGGCAACGCUCUGACAGCCGCGGGACUCGCAAGAUUUACACUGGGAGCUGCUGGGAGGUAAGUAAC